GUGGUAAUGCCGGAUGCUCCAGUUGAUCGCAUGGUCUUCUGGGAAAGCCUUUGCGGCAUGGGAUGGGGUCGCGUCCUAUCAGCUUGAUGGCGGGGUAACGGCCCACCAUGGCUUCGACGGGUAGCCGGCCUGAGAGGGCGACCGGCCACAUUGGGACUGAGAUACGGCCCAGACUCCUACGGGAGGCAGCAGUGGGGAAUAUUGCACAAUGGGCGCAAGCCUGAUGCAGCGACGCCGCGUGAGGGAUGGAGGCCUUCGGGUUGUAAACCUCUUUUGUUAGGGAGCAAGGCAUUUUGUGUUGAGUGUACCUUUCGAAUAAGCACCGGCUAACUACGUGCCAGCAGCCGCGGUAAUACGUAGGGUGCAAGCGUUAUCCGGAAUUAUUGGGCGUAAAGGGCUCGUAGGCGGUUCGUCGCGUCCGGUGUGAAAGUCCAUCGCUUAACGGUGGAUCCGCGCCGGGUACGGGCGGGCUUGAGUGCGGUAGGGGAGACUGGAAUUCCCGGUGUAACGGUGGAAUGUGUAGAUAUCGGAAAAAAACACC
rnacentral:rRNA from 1 species